rnacentral:rRNA from 1 species
UGUAAGCGUAUACCAAAGUUGUUGCAGUUAAAACGCUCGUAGUCGGAAUUUGGCAGUUCCGGAAGUGUGCACGUCGUGUGCGCACUUUGCGGGGACUGCUUUUGUGGUCUUGCGUUGGAUGAGGCACUUUCAUUAGUGAACGUCCUCACGCAACCACUCUUUACUGUGAGAAAAUCAGAGUGCUCAAAGCAGGCAUUUGCCGUGAAUGUAUUAGCAUGGAAUAAUAGAAUAGGACUCGGUUCUAUUUUGUUGGUUUGUUGGGACUGAGUAAUGAUUAAGAGGGACAGUUGGGGGCAUUUGUAUUCCGGCGCUAGAGGUGAAAUUCUUAGAUUGCCGGAAGACAAACUGCUGCGAAAGCGUCUGCCAAGGAUGUUUUCAUUGA